CGGCACUGCAAUGUAAUGAUGUUGCUAUUAUGUAAAACGAAAUACAAUUAAAAAGUUUCACUCUUACCUCGCGACUGUAAUGGCAGCUAAUAAGACGCAGCCACCUUCGAGGACCGACAGGACGGAUAAGGUUAACAAGCUGGCGCGGGAUUUUAAACGACCAGCGUGCAGAUAGCCAGCUAAUAAGGUGGAUAGAGCGGCUAAUGCAGUUAGGGCGGCAUCCACGCCCCCAUUCCAUACGAUCUAAGCAAAUUGGAAAUGGAAGGCAUACAUUUACUUGCUCACACCCACAGAACAAAUCCGCUUACCGUUGGCUCGUCCUCAAAGGAUUUCCAAACCACCUGCAUAUAUGUGGUGACUUGCAGAUAACCCGCCAAGGCGAUGGCAUACCAAAGACUCCAUUGCAACACCAUGGGAUUGGAGUAGGCGCUGCGAAA